UACGUAGGGGGCGAGCGUUAUCCGGAUUUAUUGGGCGUAAAGCGCGCGCAGGCGGUUCAUUAAGUCUGGUGUGAAAGCUCCCGGCUCACCUGGGAGAGGGCACUGGAGACUGGUGGACUGGAGCGAGGCAGAGGCCGGUGGAAUUCCCGGUGUAGUGGUGAAAUGCGUAGAGAUCGGGAGGAACACCAGUGGCGAAGGCGGCCGGCUGGGCCUUGACUGACGCUGAGGCGCGACAGCGUGGGGAGCGAACCGG
rnacentral:rRNA from 1 species